CCCUUAGAUGUUCUGGGCCGCACGCGUGCUACACUGAGUAAAUCAAUGGGUAAGGGAACACGAAAGUGCAACCUAAUCUUGAAAUUUGCUCGUGAUGGGGAUCGACGGUUGCAAUUUUCCGUCGUGAACGAGGAAUACCUUGUAGGCGCGUGUCAUCAUCACGCGCCGAAUACGUCCCUGCCCUUUGUACGCACCGCCCGUCGCUCCUACCGAUUGAGUGAUCCGGUGAGGCUCUGGGACCUGGACGGAAAGAGCGUUUCGCUUGUUCUGUUUGGGAAACUUGGUCGAACCUUAUCAUUUAGAGGAAGGAGAAGUCGUAACA
rnacentral:rRNA from 1 species